GAGACAAACUUCCGGGGCAAGACUUGCUUCAAUGAGGCUUUGGUGCUCACUGAGUCUGCCCCCUGAGUGUGUCCUU
rnacentral:pre_miRNA from 1 species